rnacentral:tRNA from 1 species
GCCUGGUUGGCUCAGUCAGUUAAGUGUCUGACUUCUGCUCAGGUCAUGAUCUCACGGUUCAUGGGUUCGAACCCUGUGUUGGGCU